AGAGUUUGAUCCUGGCUCAGAUUGAACGCUGGCGGCAUGCUUUACACAUGCAAGUCGAACGGCAGCAUAGAGAGCUUGCUCUCUGAUGGCGAGUGGCGAACGGGUGAGUAAUACAUCGGAACGUGUCCUGUUGUGGGGGAUAACUGCUCGAAAGGGUGGCUAAUACCGCAUGAGACCUGAGGGUGAAAGCGGGGGAUCGCAAGACCUCGCGCAAUUGGAGCGGCCGAUGCCCGAUUAGCUAGUUGGUGAGGUAAAGGCUCACCAAGGCGACGAUCGGUAGCUGGUCUGAGAGGACGACCAGCCACACUGGGACUGAGACACGGCCCAGACUCCUACGGGAGGCAGCAGUGGGGAAUUUUGGACAAUGGGGGCAACCCUGAUCCAGCCAUGCCGCGUGCAGGAUGAAGGCCUUCGGGUUGUAAACUGCUUUUGUCAGGGACGAAAAGGACCGUGUUAAUACCAUGGUCUGCUGACGGUACCUGAAGAAUAAGCACCGGCUAACUACGUGCCAGCAGCCGCGGUAAUACGUAGGGUGCAAGCGUUAUCCGGAAUUAUUGGGCGUAAAGGGCUCGUAGGCGGUUCGUCGCGUCCGGUGUGAAAGUCCAUCGCUUAACGGUGGAUCCGCGCCGGGUACGGGCGGGCUUGAGUGCGGUAGGGGAGACUGGAAUUCCCGGUGUAACGGUGGAAUGUGUAGAUAUCGGGAAGAACACCAAUGGCGAAGGCAGGUCUCUGGGCCGUCACUGACGCUGAGGAGCGAAAGCGUGGGGAGCGAACAGGAUUAGAUACCCUGGUAGUCCACGCCGUAAACGGUGGAUGCUGGAUGUGGGGACCAUUCCACGGUCUCCGUGUCGGAGCCAACGCGUUAAGCAUCCCGCCUGGGGAGUACGGCCGCAAGGCUAAAACUCAAAGAAAUUGACGGGGGCCCGCACAAGCGGCGGAGCAUGCGGAUUAAUUCGAUGCAACGCGAAGAACCUUACCUGGGCUUGACAUGUUCCCGACAGCCGUAGAGAUACGGUCUCCCUUCGGGGCGGGUUCACAGGUGGUGCAUGGUCGUCGUCAGCUCGUGUCGUGAGAUGUUGGGUUAAGUCCCGCAACGAGCGCAACCCUCGCCCUGUGUUGCCAGCACGUCGUGGUGGGAACUCACGGGGGACCGCCGGGGUCAACUCGGAGGAAGGUGGGGAUGACGUCAGAUCAUCAUGCCCCUUACGUCCAGGGCUUCACGCAUGCUACAAUGGCCGGUACAACGGGAUGCGACACCGCGAGGUGGAGCGGAUCCCUUAAAACCGGUCUCAGUUCGGAUUGGAGUCUGCAACCCGACUCCAUGAAGGCGGAGUCGCUAGUAAUCGCGGAUCAGCAACGCCGCGGUGAAUGCGUUCCCGGGCCUUGUACACACCGCCCGUCAAGUCAUGAAAGUGGGUAGCACCCGAAGCCGGUGGCCCAACCUUUUGGGGGGAGCCGUCUAAGGUGAGACUCGUGAUUGGGACUAAGUCGUAACAAGGUAGCCGUACCGGAAGGUGCGGCUG
rnacentral:rRNA from 1 species